UACGUAGGGUGCGAGCGUUGUCCGGAAUUAUUGGGCGUAAAGAGCUCGUAGGCGGUUUGUUGCGUCGGCCGUGAAAACUCAGGGCUUAACUCUGAGCCUGCGGUCGAUACGGGCAGACUUGAGUUCGGUAGGGGAGACUGGAAUUCCUGGUGUAGCGGUGAAAUGCGCAGAUAUCAGGAAGAACACCCGUGGCGAAGGCGGUUCUCUGGGCCGAUACUGACGCUGAGGAGCGAAAGCGUGGGGAGCGAACAGG
rnacentral:rRNA from 1 species